rnacentral:rRNA from 1 species
CCUACGGGAGGCAGCAGUGAGGAAUAUUGGUCAAUGGACGCAAGUCUGAACCAGCCAUGCCGCGUGCAGGAAGACGGCUCUAUGAGUUGUAAACUGCUUUUGUACGAGGGUAAACGCAGAUACGCGUAUCUGUCUGAAAGUAUCGUACGAAUAAGGAUCGGCUAACUCCGUGCCAGCAGCCGCGGUAAUACGGAGGAUUCAAGCGUUAUCCGGAUUUAUUGGGUUUAAAGGGUGCGUAGGUGGUCGGUUAAGUUAGAUGUGAAAUCCCGAGGCUCAACUUCGGAAUUGCAUCUGAUACUGUUCGUCUAGAGAGUAGUUGCGGUAGGCGGAAUGUAUGGUGUAGCGGUGAAAUGCUUAGAGAUCAUACAGAACACCGAUUGCGAAGGCAGCUUACCAAGCUACUUCUGACGUUGAGGCACGAAAGCGUGGGGAGCAAACAGGAUUAGAUACCCUUGUAGUC